GAUCAUGGUAGUUUAAACCAAACCAUUAGGCUGUGGCCCUAACAAUAGAAGGCCCAUAAAACCUUCUCCAUGACC
rnacentral:tRNA from 1 species